rnacentral:rRNA from 1 species
UACGAAGGGGGCUAGCGUUGCUCGGAAUCACUGGGCGUAAAGGGCGCGUAGGCGGCCAUUCAAGUCAGAGGUGAAAGCCCAAGGCUCAACCUUGGAAUUGCCUUUGAUACUGUUUGGCUUGAGACCGGAAGAGGUUAGUGGAACUGCGAGUGUAGAGGUGAAAUUCGUGAGAUUAGUCGCAAGAACACCAGUGGCGAAGGCGGCUAACUGGUCCGGUUCUGACGCUGAGGCGCGAAAGCGUGGGGAGCAAACAGG